UGUAACUAAUACCCUUAAGGCACCAGAUCCAGUUUGAUCUUGAGAGCUAAACACAGUCAGCUCUGGUUUGUACUUGGAUGGGGAACUGCCAAUGAAUACUUGGAGCUUUCAGUUACAU
rnacentral:rRNA from 11 species